GACGAACGCUGGCGGCGUGCUUAACACAUGCAAGUCGAACGGAAAGGCCCUGCUUGCAGGGUACUCGAGUGGCGAACGGGUGAGUAACACGUGGGUGAUCUGCCCUGCACUUCGGGAUAAGCCUGGGAAACUGGGUCUAAUACCGGAUAGGAGCCAUUUUUAGUGUGAUGGUUGGAAAGUUUUUUCGGUGUAGGAUGAGCUCGCGGCCUAUCAGCUUGUUGGUGGGGUAAUGGCCUACCAAGGCGGCGACGUGUAGCCGGACUGUGAGGGUGGACGGCCACAUUGGGACUGAGAGACGGCACAGAUUCCGACGGUAGGCAGAAGGGGGGAAGAUUGCACAAGGGGCGCAAGGCUGAUGCAGCGACGCCGCGUGGGGGAUGACGGCCUUCGGGUUGUAAACUCCUUUCGCGAGGGACGAAGCUUUUUGUGACGGUACCUAGAUAAGAAGCACCGGCUAACUACGUG
rnacentral:rRNA from 1 species